UUGUGUUUCACACACAAUCAGCUGCUCGAUUAACGAGUGGCGGUCAGCUGUCUUAAAAGAAUUUUUGUUUAUUUACAAUAAAUUGGUAAAAUGGAAAACAAUAAGUGUUUAAGCGAACUUUUUCUUGCGUAUACUGCAAAUAUACAAGUUUUGCAGUCAGUGCUGGCUAGCUACGCAAGUUCAAUGGCCUUAUAUAAAAAGAGAAAAGAAAAAAACUUCAUCAUUUUGCAACAUUUGCGAAGACAGCAGCUAUUGCUUUACGGGUUACUGCAGAGGAACGCUACUCAGAGAUCCCUCUGGAAAUUGAAUCGGCAGUCUUCUUUCUGGGAAGUUAAUUGCAAUUGCAACGAUGACCAUUUCUUUAAGACGCACUUCCGCAUGAACCGCACUAGUUUCGAAACACUCUGUGGUUUCCUCAAAAACCUGCACAAAGCCGACACAAACCGGCGCAACGCGAUUCCAUUGCAAAAACGCGUUGCGAUAGCUCUAUUUACGCUGGGAUCGUCUGGGGAGUACAGAGUGGUUUCCGAACUAUUUGGUGUUGGAAUAUCGACCGUGUGCACAAUCUUGUGGGAGUUUUGCGAGGAAGUCUGGCAAGCUUUGUCAGCGCAAUACAUAAAAAAAAUUACCACCGACUCCACAAACUUUAAAAGACUGUGUUGAUGGUUUUGACCGUCUCGGCUUUCCCCAAUGCCUUGGAGCAAUUGAUGGGUGCCACAUCGAAGUUAGGCCGAAUCCAGCCGAUGCAACCGACUACCACAACUAUAAAGGAUGGUAUUC